rnacentral:rRNA from 1 species
UACGUAGGGUGCGAGCGUUAAUCGGAAUUACUGGGCGUAAAGCGUGCGCAGGCGGCUCUUCAAGUCAGGUGUGAAAGCCCCGGGCUUAACCUGGGAAUUGCGCUUGAAACUGAGGGGCUAGAGUGUGGCAGAGGGAGGUGGAAGUCCUGGUGUAGCGGUGAAAUGCGUAGAUAUCAGGAGGAACACCGAUGGCGAAGGCAGCCUCCUGGGCCAACACUGACGCUCAGGCACGAAAGCGUGGGGAGCAAACAGG